rnacentral:tRNA from 1 species
GGAGAGGUGCCAGAGUGGCCGAUCGGGGCGGUCUCGAAAACCGUUGUGCGUGCGAGCGUACCGUGGGUUCGAAUCCCACCCUCUCCGCCA